UACGGAGGGUGCAAGCGUUGUCCGGAAUCAUUGGGUGUAAAGCGUUCGUAGGCGGCAUAUCAAGUCUGGUGUUAAAUUCCGGGGCUCAACUCCGACGUGGCACUGGAUACUGGUAAGCUUGAAUGAGGUAGAGGUAAUGGGAAUUCCUGGUGUAGCGGUGAAAUGCGUAGAUAUCAGGAGGAACAUCGGUGGCGUAAGCGCAUUACUGGGCCUUAAUUGACGCUGAGGAACGAAAGCCGGGGGAGCAAAU
rnacentral:rRNA from 1 species